rnacentral:rRNA from 1 species
GCUUGCUCUGGUGGCGAGUGGCGAACGGGUAAGUAAUAUAUCGGAACGUACCCUAGAGUGGGGGAUAACGUAGCGAAAGUUACGCUAAUACCGCAUACGAUCUAAGGAUGAAAGUGGGGGAUCGCAAGACCUCAUGCUCGUGGAGCGGCCGAUAUCUGAUUAGCUAGUUGGUAGGGUAAAAGCCUACCAAGGCAUCGAUCAGUAGCUGGUCUGAGAGGACGACCAGCCACACUGGAACUGAGACACGGUCCAGACUCCUACGGGAGGCAGCAGUGGGGAAUUUUGGACAAUGGGCGAAAGCCUGAUCCAGCAAUGCCGCGUGAGUGAAGAAGGCCUUCGGGUUGUAAAGCUCUUUUGUCAGGGAAGAAACGGUGAGAGCUAAUAUCUUUUGCUAAUGACGGUACCUGAAGAAUAAGCACCGGCUAACUACGUGCCAGCAGCCGCGGUAAUACGUAGGGUGCAAGCGUUAAUCGGAAUUACUGGGCGUAAAGCGUGCGCAGGCGGUUUUGUAAGUCUGAUGUGAAAUCCCCGGGCUCAACCUGGGAAUUGCAUUGGAGACUGCAAGGCUAGAAUCUGGCAGAGGGGGGUAGAAUUCCACGUGUAGCAGUGAAAUGCGUAGAUAUGUGGAGGAACACCGAUGGCGAAGGCAGCCCCCUGGGUCAAGAUUGACGCUCAUGCACGAAAGCGUGGGGAGCAAACAGGAUUAGAUACCCUGGUAGUCCACGCCCUAAACGAUGUCUACUAGUUGUCGGGUCUUAAUUGACUUGGUAACGCAGCUAACGCGUGAAGUAGACCGCCUGGGGAGUACGGUCGCAAGAUUAAAACUCAAAGGAAUUGACGGGGACCCGCACAAGCGGUGGAUGAUGUGGAUUAAUUCGAUGCAACGCGAAAAACCUUACCUACCCUUGACAUGGCUGGAAUCCUUGAGAGAUCAGGGAGUGCUCGAAAGAGAACCAGUA